rnacentral:rRNA from 1 species
GGGUAAGUCCCGCAACGAGCGCAACCCUUGUCUUAGUUGCCAUCAUUAAGUUGGGCACUCUAAAGAGACUGCCGGUGUCAAACCGGAGGAAGGUGGGGAUGACGUCAAGUCCUCAUGGCCUUAUGACCAGGGCUACACACGUACUACAAUGGCAGGUACAAAGGGCAGCCACUUAGCGAUAAGGCGCGAAUCCCAUAAAACCUGUCUCAGUCCGGAUUGGAGUCUGCAACUCGACUCCAUGAAGUUGGAAUCGCUAGUAAUCGCAGAUCAGCACGCUGCGGUGAAUACGUUCCCGGGCCUU